CUACGUGCCAGCAGCCGCGGUAAUACGUAGGUGGCAAGCGUUGUCCGGAAUUAUUGGGCGUAAAGCGCGCGCAGGCGGAUCAGUCAGUCUGUCUUAAAAGUUCGGGGCUUAACCCCGUGAUGGGAUGGAAACUGCUGAUCUAGAGUAUCGGAGAGGAAAGUGGAAUUCCUAGUGUAGCGGUGAAAUGCGUAGAUAUUAGGAAGAACACCAGUGGCGAAGGCGACUUUCUGGACGAAAACUGACGCUGAGGCGCGAAAGCCAGGGGAGCGAACGGGAUUAGAUACCCCGGUAGUCCUGGCCGUAAACGAUGGGUACUAGGUGUAGGAGGUAUCGACCCCUUCUGUGCCGGAGUUAACGCAAUAAGUACCCCGCCUGGGGAGUACGACCGCAAGGUUGAAACUCAAAGGAAUUGACGGGGGCCCGCACAAGCGGUGGAGCAUGUGGUUUAAUUCGACGCAACGCGAAGAACCUUACCAGGUCUUGACAU
rnacentral:rRNA from 1 species